rnacentral:rRNA from 1 species
CCUACGGGAGGCAGCAGUGAGGAAUCUUGGUCAAUGGGCGGAAGCCUGAACCAGCCAAGUCGCGUGAGGGAUUAAGGCCCUAUGGGUCUUAAACCUCUUUUGUCAGGGAGCAAUGGCGUCCACGUGUUGGCGUAUGGAGAGUACCUGAAGAAAAAGCAUCGGCUAACUCCGUCCCAGCAGCCGCGUGAAUACGGAGGAUGCGAGCGUUAUCCGGAGUUAUUGGGUUUAAAGUGUGCGUAGGCGGGACCUUCAGUCAGCGGGAAAAUUGCGGUGCUCAACGCCGUAGAGCCGUUGAAACUGGUGUUCUUGAGUGAGCGAGAAGUAUGCGGAAGGCGUGGUGUAGCGGUGAAAUGCAUAGAUAUAACGCAGAACCCCGAUUGCGAAGGCAGCAUACCGGCGCUCAACUGACGCUGAGGCACGAAAGUGUGGGUAGCGAACAGGAUUAGAUACCCGAGUAGUC